rnacentral:rRNA from 1 species
GCUUGUCUCAAAGAUUAAGCCAUGCAUGUGUAAGUAUAAAUAACUCUAUACUAUGAAACUGCGAAUGGCUCAUUAUAUCAGUUAUAGUUUAUUUGAUAAUACUUUACUACUAGGAUAACCGUAGUAAUUCUAGAGCUAAUACUUGCGUAAAAACCUGACUUCUGGAAGGGUUGUAUUUAUUAGAUGGAAACCAAUGCGGGGCAACCCGGAAUAUGGUGAUUCAUAAUAACUUUCGGAUCGUUUACGAUGCAUCAUUCAAGUUUCUGCCCUAUCAGCUUUGGAUGGUAGGGUAUUGGCCUACCAUGGCUUUAACGGGUAACGGAGAAUUAGGGUUCGAUUCCGGAGAGGGAGCCUGAGAAAUGGCUACCACAUCCAAGGAAGGCAGCAGG